rnacentral:antisense_RNA from 1 species
CUCAAUGGUGGCUAUGUGUAGUUGGCCCUCGGGCCGGCUGGGUUAUCGCUCGAUGUUCCCCGGACUUGCAGCCCGCACGUAGCCGCCACCCAU